UACAGAGGUCUCAACCGUUGUUCGGAUUCAUUGGGCGUAAAGGGUGCGUAGGCGGUCGGGUAAGUCGGAUGUGAAAUCCCAGGGCUCAACCCUGGAACUGCAUUCGAUACUGCCUGGCUAGGGUACUGGAGAGGAGACUGGAAUUUACGGUGUAGCAGUGAAAUGCGUAGAUAUCGUAAGGAAGACCAGUGGCGAAGGCGGGUCUCUGGACAGUUCCUGACACUGAGGCACGAAAGCGUGGGGAGCAAACAGG
rnacentral:rRNA from 1 species